rnacentral:sRNA from 1 species
GAUUGCUAUUUACACCACACUCAAAACAAAAUAUCUGAAAUGAGAAGGGAAAUGAUGUUGAUAUUUUCAUAGAUUUGAUAAAGGCGUAUUCAGUAUGGAGAAUACGCCUCUAACCUCCGUGCACACCAUGACGCUUAGAGAGCAGUGUGGCUGCCAUACAUACAUACAUACUGUGCUGGCCUGUGACAAACUAGGGAUCUGUCUGAAGGGAUAGUGGCUCCUUCCCUCUUGUGCGUUUCCCAGGUAUAACUAUUAAGAGAUAUGUGCUAAAAAUUUCAAACUACUCUAAAAAACUGAGAAUUUGAAUCAAUCUCCCAAUAUCAAACAUUUUCAGCUAGUUCAAAAAUUAUGGAAAAGUAGAGAUCAUACAUUCAUGCAUUCCUACUUAGAGCUUGUUUUGCCCCUGGGCCACAAAUUAACAAGCUACCCAGCCCAAGCUAAACCACAAGUUAAUUAUCCACCUAGCCCAGGCUAACCUACAGGUUAAUCAUUCACCUCACUGCUGACUUUCUGACUUAUAUUCCUGAUGGCCACAUUCCUGCCGAAUCAUUUGGCUGGAAAACAUCUGAUACAUUGUUGGGAGACGUCUUACAACAAGGAAACAGGAAAGGAAGAGAAAGACCUGCAGAGGCUGAUGCAAUACUCCAAGCUGUCAACCAUGGCCAUGAUGAGCUCAUUCUUAUGCCAGGUCAGUACAUCAUUGCCUGUGGACAAUGGCCCUGUCCAUUUCCUCAUAGCUAUAAUUCUGAAAUACUACAUCCUACUCCCGUAUCCUCAAUCAAUUCCUCUCAUAUGUAUAUCCAAUUCAAAAUUCCACUUGUGCGCUCAAUCCUCCAUGGACUCCAGCAGUCUACCCCACAUCCUUCGGCUCAGUUCAGUCUCUUCAAAACCACUGUCUUCUGCUGCUUUUCCACAGAAACUUUUGUUCUCCUCACCGGUCUUCGGAAUGCUUUCUCAGUGAGUCUCCAUCUUGGUAUUUCUCCUCUUACUGCUGUGUUUUUCAGUCACCCAGCCCCCGACAUGCUACUCUACACAAAUGGCUCCCGCUGGUAAUUACUGGAGAAGCUGCAGAAGAUGGUUAUGUAAUCCUGUUCAUUAGUCACCUUUAUUGUGCUGCUGAAGAAUCCAAGUCAGAAAUGAAUAGCAUUGUGCUUUCUUUUUUGUUUGUUUUUUUUUCUUAUUUCCUUCAGACAUGUGAAAAUGUAAUUUUGUGGUAGUUUUGUUAGGCGUGAGAAUUUUGCCUUCUUUUCCCUUCCUGCAGUGGUUUCCAAGUGUCAUCACAGCCUACGAAGCAAGUAAAGGCCCUUAAGAUACAACAGUUAUAUCACUACUUUUAAUCAGGAAACCUUCCUCCAGUGUUAAAAAGAUAGCAGUUUUAUUUAAAGCAAGUAUUUAUACUCCUAAUUACUUAGGUGUGUGCACACCCAUACCAGCACAAGACAUUACACCCUUCAACUAUCUUCAAUACAUCACUAAAUUAAAUUCAGGAUGACAUGUGGGUUUAAGUCAGAAACAUGCUUCAGUAAUUGGGAAUAUAAUAGCUGGCAAAUUUUUCACUUUUAUUUAAAAAAAACAAUAGACUCUUCCUUAGAAGCAAAGAAUAUCUACAAAACUAGGUAUCUAUUCUCACCAGAAUUACUCCCCCUGUCUGACUGAAGUUUUGUAGUAAAGACAGUAUCACAGCACGCCCAGGAAAAAAUAAUUUAAUUAAAAGAAAAGUAUAUUCAGGCUGCCCACUUUAGAAGGAAAAAAAAUGUAAAGUAUUCAUCCUAGAGUUUAUAAUGGAAUAUCUGCUUGCAAAAAUUCCUUCUGAAUUUUUGACUUCGGUAACAGAAUUCCCUGCUUGCUGGCUGGCUGGCUGGCUGGCUUUUGAUCAGUUUCACAGGGCACCUUCUAUGGUGAAAUAACUGUGAUUGGAGCUAGGUUGGAAGCGGAGAUAAAGUCGCCUCUAUCGUAAAUUUCACAGUAGCAUGUGGAAAAAGUAAAUAAGUUAAUAUUUUUCUCCAUCAACACAUUAAUGCGUAUUUGGAGAAGGAGGGUAUCUGGGUGGAAUAAAAUACAACACCAGAAAGCCCUGGAAGUCAGGCAACGCUCUUUUGAGCAAGUAAAGUGGUGGUUUAAUGAUAAAACCCAAUACUUCUUUGCUGACCUACAGAAUAUGAAUUUUAAAAAUUGAAUUCUUGGCUAGAUGGCCAUGAGAAUGAAUGAAAGUCUGCAACUGACAGGAGUGAGGAAAUAGGGGACAUUUCCA